rnacentral:rRNA from 1 species
AGAAGCUUGCUUCUCUGAUGUUAGCGGCGGACGGGUGAGUAACACGUGGGUAACCUACCUAUAAGACUGGGAUAACUCCGGGAAACCGGGGCUAAUACCGGAUAAUAUAUUGAACCGCAUGGUUCAAUGUUGAAAGACGGUUUCGGCUGUCACUUAUAGAUGGACCCGCGCCGUAUUAGCUAGUUGGUAAGGUAACGGCUUACCAAGGCAACGAUACGUAGCCGACCUGAGAGGGUGAUCGGCCACACUGGAACUGAGACACGGUCCAGACUCCUACGGGAGGCAGCAGUAGGGAAUCUUCCGCAAUGGGCGAAAGCCUGACGGAGCAACGCCGCGUGAGUGAUGAAGGUCUUAGGAUCGUAAAACUCUGUUGUUAGGGAAGAACAAAUUUGUUAGUAACUGAACAAGUCUUGACGGUACCUAACCAGAAAGCCACGGCUAACUACGUGCCAGCAGCCGCGGUAAUACGUAGGUGGCAAGCGUUAUCCGGAAUUAUUGGGCGUAAAGCGCGCGUAGGCGGUUUCUUAAGUCUGAUGUGAAAGCCCACGGCUCAACCGUGGAGGGUCAUUGGAAACUGGGGAACUUGAGUGCAGAAGAGGAGAGUGGAAUUCCAUGUGUAGCGGUGAAAUGCGCAGAGAUAUGGAGGAACACCAGUGGCGAAGGCGGCUCUCUGGUCUGUAACUGACGCUGAUGUGCGAAAGCGUGGGGAUCAAACAGGAUUAGAUACCCUGGUAGUCCACGCCGUAAACGAUGAGUGCUAAGUGUUAGGGGGUUUCCGCCCCUUAGUGCUGCAGCUAACGCAUUAAGCACUCCGCCUGGGGAGUACGACCGCAAGGUUGAAACUCAAAGGAAUUGACGGGGACCCGCACAAGCGGUGGAGCAUGUGGUUUAAUUCGAAGCAACGCGAGAACCUUACCAAAUCUUGACAUCCUUUGAUCGCUCUAGAGAUAGAGUUUUCCCCUUCGGGGACAAAGUGACAGGGGUGCAUGGUUGUCGUCAGCUCGUGUCGUGAGAUGUUGGGUUAAGUCCCGCACGAGCGCACCCUUAAGCUAGUGCCAUCAUUAAGUUGGGCACUCUAGGUGACUGCCGGUGACAACCGGAGGAGGGGGGAUGACGUCAAUCAUCAUGCCCUUAUGAUUGGGCUACACACGUGCUACAUGGAUAAUACAAGGGCAGCGGACCGCGAGGUCAGCAAAUCCC